UGUGAGAUAGUCCGGUUCAUCUUAGAUUUCCAGUGUCUUUGAGAUUUGAGAAGGAUUGAACUUGUCGUGCACCAUUGUUCGGGAUGUCGUAGCGUGUAUGAUCCGUAUCGUUUUGUUUGGACUUGUUGUACUGUAUGGUGUUGUUGAACUACCAGUAGAAGAGUUUGGUGCUUUAAGUAUCAGCUUCUCUUCUGGCUGCCGCCCUCAUGUUUUGAGCUCCAUGGAAGUUCAGUCCUGGUUAUUUUUAGGGGUGGCAACACAUUAUUCCUAACUUGUAGGGAUAUGCACAGUUUUUCAUUUUUGCACAGUUUUUCUUGGGUUUUCUUGUUUGCCUUUUCUUUUCGGCUUUUAGUUUCUUUCUUUAGUUUUCUUUGUUAGUUUCAACGGUUUCUUUGUUUUUCUUUGUAUCCUUCUUGGUUUUCACUCUUUUGCAUUGGUUUUCUUUGUUUUUUUACUUCUUACAGGGUUUCUUUGUUUUUCUUUGUUUCUAUGUCGAUUUCAUCGGUUUUCUUUUUGUAAUACACAUGUCAACUUUUUUCAGUACACAUUAUAUAUUUUCCAUAUUCGUCAGAAACAUAUUUUAUAUACAUGUUUAACAUUUUUUGAAAAACAAUUUAUUAUUUCUAAUUUUGUCUAUGCACAUUGUAUAUUUUUGGUAUAUAUGUAAUACAAUUUUAUAUACACAUUUUACAUUUAAAAAUACAGGAUUAUCAUUUUUUCAAUACAUGGUUAAAAAAUUCAAAAGACAGAAAAUAUUUUUUCAAUGGCAAAAAAUAUUUUUUCGCAUACAAUGUACAUUUUUGUACUCACCAGGAGCAUUUUUAUACACAGUUAAUUUUUUUAAAUACAUUAUAAACAAUUUUUCAUGCACAUUGUUUUUUUAUAUAUUUGUCGUGUACAUGACAAACAUUAUUUCAAUAAACAUUUAACAUUUUUCAAAUGUUUGAUGAUUUUUUUAAGUGAUUAAUUAACAUUUUUUUAAAUACAUGAUUAACCUUUUCCAUACACAUUGUAGUUUUUUGCAUACAUUUUCCUUAUACAUGAGAAAAUUUUCUCCAUUCACAUUAAAUUUUCCAAAUGCUUUGUUAAGAUUUUUUCAAAUGUUUUAUGUAAUGUUUAUUGUAUUAUAAAUAUUUACAAUAUUUGGAAUUAUAAAAAAACUACAAUAGAAAGCAAUAAAUAAAUAAAUAAUGUUUUAUGUAAUGUUUUAUUUAGUGGAUGAGCUCAGUUCUUACAUGGGUCUCACAUCUCCUUCUCUGUUAAAAAUAAGUAGGGGCUUCUUCCCCCUACCGGUCUAGUUAUUUUAAUAAAUAAAUAAGCAGGAGCAAAAUAGAGAAAAAAAAAACGAGGCAGUGGCCUGUGGCCACCCUCACUGGGCCGGGCCAUUUAAGGAGCCGCUUGCCGUGAGCGCAACUUAGGUGUCGCUAUAAGCCAAACAUUUUUUUAGUCUAAACAUACUUUGCUCUUUUAAGUAAUCAAGUGAUACAAUGUAAGUCCGGAGGAUUUAUGAGCCAAACAUGGCGCCCGACAUCCAAACCAAAAGCAAGUUUAGCGAGACUAUGUGCCUCGAAGUUUGACUCUCUCCCUUCGAAGAUGAAGGUUCAUUAUUGAAAAUUCUUCGAUCUUUCCAAAAUCUCCUUGAUGAUGUUUGUAUAAACGCCUCCAGUGUUGUUCUUGAUGUCAUGAACUACACCUUGGCAGUCUGAUGCCACUAGCACAUGUGAUAGCGCAAGAUCUGUAGACAUGGCGCACCCCAUAGGAGUGGCUUCGCUGAAGCCUACGCGAAUGGGCUAGCCAACUUUGGGCACAAACUGUUUGUUUAUAUUUUCCUCUUCGUUUUUGUCUUCGGUUUUUCACUGAAAAAAUAGCUAUUAUUUUAUAGAAAUAUUUUUGUAACCUAUUAAAAAUACAAAAUUAUAUUUUAAAAAUUAUUUGGUAUAUGUUUUAUGAAAGUUCUGCGUAUAUUAAAAAAUCACCAUUUAUUCAGAAAAUAUUUGCUGUGUAUUAAAAAAUGCUCAUUAUAUAUUAAAAAAUUAAUUGAUAUAAAGUAAAUAUUCAUCAUGUAUAAAAAAAGUUCAGUGUGUGUUUUGAAAAAUGUUCACUUAAUACUAAAAAAAGUUAUUGUCUAUUUGAAAAACUCACCGUAUGCUGAACACAAGUGCAUUUGAAAUUUUUUCACCGUAUAGUACAAACCUAUAAAAUUAGAAAAAAUUGAAAACCCGAAAUAACAGUGAACCCAAGAUCUCCAAAAGAAAAAAAACGGAAAGAGAAGAGAAAAAAAACAAAGUAAAAAAUGAAACAGAAACAGCUAGGUAAGUGGGCCGGUCCAUCUAGAGGUUUUCUUCAGUGAAGGCUCCCCUGUAUGAUGCACACGGGUGGUGAGCGCCGCUUUGCAUCCCUACUAGCUUAUUUUCUUAGAAUUAUUGGAUUAUCGCAUAACAAGGAGAGAGAGGAAUGCAUGAAUAAUGUUGUACGUCUAGUAUUUAUGGUUACUUUAGAUUUGUGGUUAGUUUUGAAUAACACAUAAUAACUUACAUCUCUUUGCCCCAAUAUAUUUCCAAAUUCACUAUCAUUUUAUUGUAAAAAUGGGUAGGCGCGACAACCCGCGCCAUCAUCGUCUAAUAAAUAAUCUAAACCAAAACAAUUGAUUCAGCCAUUGAAUAAAUCUACCGAACAUUGGUCAACCACCCCAUUACUCUUAUCAGAGGAGGAUCUAACUAACUUAAAGUCUCCUCCGAUCAAAGUAUGGCUAAACCAGUAGUUCAUCACAUUAUGUAGUCCCUUGACAAAAUCUAGUUCAUGUUCCUCAUAUGUGGGAGACAUGAAUAUAAAUGAACCUCUUGUCAGCUUUGCCAUCUCUUAGAUUUAUUGGAUUAUUUUAUCUUAACAAGCAGACUGCAUAUCAAGAACAUAAAACAGAAAUCAAACUUUAUUCAACUGCGCAAUUAAGCGGAAUUAUGAAAUUGAAAAAAUUGAGGAAAGCUAGCAGCAUCUCUUUGGGAUGGUGAGGUGGCCGGCCAUGUGCCAGCCCUCUCCUCCGUCAGGGUACAUGUAAGGGCACGCCGGCCUGAAUGGGGUGCUGCCCUUGGCGGCGAGCAUGUUCCACUGCUCAUUGGGGUCGUCGGUGGCGAACUUGGUCCACGUCGGAGUGGAGUACUCGUAGCGACUGUGCGUGAUGCGGUGGAACUCCUGGAUGUCCUUGUUCUUGGUGAUGUCAUCAGUGUCGCGGAGGUCGACCGAAAGGAUGUCGCCGUAGGGCCUAACGGAGUGCAGGAAGACGGGCAUCGAGAUCGGCUCGUUGGAGACGGCGGCGAGGUCGGAGGCGAAGACAAUGCUCCUCAUGUCGGGGCUGAAAAUAGGGUGGUUAACGUGUCCCGCGAGGGUAGCCGAGCUCUGCACCACGCGCACCACCACCGUGGGGUCGCUGACCUUCACCAGGUACACGGCGAAGUAGCCCGCGUCGAGGAAGGCCAUCUCCGGCGCGCUGGCCGGCAUCUCGCGCGUGGAGGAGAAGACGACCCAGUCCCCCUUGGGCGACCAGCUGCAGUGGGUGUCGGUCCACGGCCCGUCGGUGAGCCGUGUCACCGUGCCCUGGCCGAACUCCCCCUCCUCCGCGUCCUCCAUGAUGUAGAGGUUCUUGUGGAACUUCUCUUUGCCGCCGUCCCUCGUGGACCGAAACACAAACUUGUCCCCCUGCGCGUUGCUCGACGGGAAGGCGUUGUUGAAGUUCCCGGCGGUGAGGCGCUGCACCUUCCGGCCGGCGGACGGCCCGGACACGUUGGAGAUGGCGUAGAUCUCCAAUGGCUUGGCGGCGGAGAAGGACGGGCCCACGCAGACGUACAACGUGUCCUUGUCCGGGUUCUGGUUCCACGCCGUUGAGAAGACGCUGUUGGAGCCCCGCUUCUGCAAGUUUUUGUUGGGUGAGAAUUGGUAUUGAUUCUUUCUACUUCUUGAGGGACAAUGGUGGAUAGAUAGAUACGAUACCUCAUAGACGACGCGCAGGCCUUGGGUGUCGGCAAGCCACACGGCCUUGAACUCGUUGUCGACGAAGGCGAGCUUGGCGCCAUCCUUGGAAAUGGUUGGGAACACACCCGACACCCGGAACAGCCCCACAUCUGUGUGAGGGGAGUGCAUCUUGUCGAAGCUCUUGUUAGGGGCAGAAAGAUUAUUCUGCAUCCAUGUCAUGCCAUGUUCAUCGGUAAGUAAUCAUGAUGAUCGAUUGUUUAAAUAUAAUACUCCCUCUGUUCACUUACAUAAGACGUUUUAGCAAAUUCAGACAGUGUACUAAACAGUUCAAACCCAGCUGUCUGAAACGCCUUAUAAAAGCGAAUGGAGGGAGUAGUAUUAUUAUCCAACACUUGUCAUAAUUUUAUCUUGUAUGUGCAUAUAUACAUAUAAUUAUGAUUAAUCAAAUAAGAUAAAAGGUAGCGAAAUAUGUCUAAUUCUAUAGGCAUAAAUAGUUGAUGCUCACUACUUCUAUUUCUUUCAGCAUAUACACACACAUGCCACCUCACAUCCCACUAAUUAUAUUUCUCUCACCAUAUAUGAGAAAUGCUAUUUAUUUUGUUUCUCAAUAUGCAUAUAUCGCAACUCACCACACAUGUCAUCUUAUCAAUCUCACUACAUAUUUUUUUGCGGGGUAAUCCCUGCUUAUAUUUCUCUCUACAUGCAUGAGAAAUACUCCUACUAACAACCAUAUGAUGAUUAAAUAUAAUAAAUCAUGUGUAUUUCCAUUUUCUAUUUUCGUAUCCAAAUCUCAUCAAUAUAUGUUGCAACAAAUUUUCAUAGCAACACGCGGGGCAUCAUUUAUUUAUCUGUCUCAGCUACAUUUCUAAGUGUUCGGAUCAACAUCCAACCAUCCAGAUAUAAAAUCACUAUAUUAAAAUUAACAUGAAAACCAAAAGUUGCACAAAAUGUUUAACUGAAGUUGCACGCUUGAGAGUGUGUAAUUUUAGUUGGUUGAAAUUUAUAAGUAAAUUGAGAAUUAGCAAAAGGGAAGACAUGCGUACCCCAAUGACGAGAUCGUCGGUUCUGACCCGAUGGUAGCCGAUGCGGCUGCCGCCGUCGGCCACGAAAGGGUUGUAGUGGUCGCCUUUCGGCCUGAUCUUCUGGCUGAUCUGCACGGCGGGGCGGUCCGGCGACGCGACGUCGAAGAUCUCGAUGUGGCGGUACUGCGCCUCCUCUCGCGGCGUGGUCAUGGCGGCCUGCCUAGACUUCUGGCGGAUGGCGGCCACGGCGACCCUGGUCUCGCUGAUGGCCGCGGGGGUCAUGGCGUCGAUGGCCUCGGGCGUCACCCGGACGGUCUCCUUGGUGGCCAUGUCGUAGCGGAACACGGCCCAGUUCGUCGGGGACUCGCCGGUCCCUCGGUGGAAGAAGAUGACGUUGUCGCUGCCCCACGUCGGCCACCCGCCGUCCCGGAUGAGGAUCCUGCGGCGCAGGCCGCCCUGCGCCGUCCUGUCCACGUUCAUGACGGCGAUGUCGGUGUUGAGGCGCUCGAUCUCGCCCGUCCACUUGUUCCCGCGGAAGUUGGCCACGGCCACCAUCUUGCCGGAGGGCGACACGGCCGGGCUGACGUCGUACUGGCCUGGCGGGGUGAGGCGCUCGGUCUUGCCGUCGGCGAGGUUGGUCCGGUACACCACGGUCCAGGGCGUGCGGCGCCUCGUCACCGGCUCCUUGGUGGAGACGUAGACGAGGGAGUGGCCGACGGCGCGAGCGCCCACCUUGAAGCCGCCGGCGACGCAGCCGCUGUCCUCCAUCCGCGAGCCGCCGAAGGUGCCGGCGCCAUAGACGUCGCCCAGGCUCAGCACCUUCACCGCACCACCUUCGCCUUUGGGGCGCACAAGGGCCACGUGCAGCGUCUCGAGCCCCUUGUCCCUCUCGGAGACGAAGACGAGGCCGGCGACGCGGCCCUGCUCGGCGUCGUCCGGCGUGGCGCCGCACUCGGCGGCGAGCGCGGGGUUCUUCUUGCCAAGGAACGUGAGGAGCUCCUUGAGCGCGGCCGCCGGGAUGGCCCGGCCGUUCUGGUUGUAGGACACGCCGUCGGUGAGGUGGUGCUCGUCCUCCCGCGAGGACGGCGGCGGGUCGGCCGGGCAGGAGUAGAUGUCCAGUGGCACUGGCGGGCGGUAGGUGCCGAAGAAGGCGAUGCUGCCACGGCCGCUGUCGUCGCUCCCCAUGGCCGGCCGGCGCGGAGUCGAUCGAGCAAGAAUGAAACGAGUUUCUGUUGGUUUGCUCACGCCGGAAGCUGCUUGAUUUAUAAUGACACGCAAGCAGGACUUCAAUACCUUAAAUUAAAAAAAGAACUUAUAGCUGCUGAUAAUAUUUUUUUUUGCACAUAAGCUGAUAAUAAUUUCUAUCCGGUUAUUUUAUAGUACGUACUAAUCAAUGACUAAUGUGUGGUGUGGAUUUUUGGAACCUGGGUGUAGGCGCACCUGAUUAACCAAAAAGAAAUGAAAAAAAAAGUAAAAGAAAUCAAAAGAAAAUGUGAAACUUGUUCGGAACAAGCAUUGUCUAGUGUAUUACUCAAGUGAAAAGUUUCGGGAUAAAAUGAUUUCUAUGGUAGUGUUGGCAAAAAAGUGCCGCACCGCACAUUAGUCAUUGUCUAGUGUAUUACUCAUGUGUAAAAUUUUGGGACAAAAUGGCUUCUGCAUUUUGUUGGCAAAAAAAUUUAAAAAUUGCAAGUAUAAACUGUGUGUAUACCAAGUUUAAUAUACUGCCAGUUUUGUUUUUAUUCGUUCAGAAUGCCACGGAAGUCAUUUUGUCGCGAAACUUUACAUGUGAGUAAACCACUAGACAAUGCUUGUUCGGAACAAUUUUCAAUUUUUUUAAUCAUUUUUUUGAUUUUUAUUUCAAUUUGGGUGCAUCUAGUCCGAGGUUCCGUUGUGUAUUUUCAAUGACUAAUGCCUCAUUAUUAAUCCACUGAUGAGUAAACUAAUAAGUCCCUUGAGUGGUACAUAUAGAGUAAAUGAUUGGUGUUGAUUGUAGUUUGCAUUUAGUCAUAAUUGAAGCCACAAAGUUUCAGUUUUUUUGAUUUUAUUUGCAACUUCUUUUUACUGUUCAUUGUGAAUACAAUGCAGCCAGUUUUCGAAAAACCACACUAUCGCAAACAGUAAUAUCUCUUGUGCUAUCUUAAAACUGUUAUGAUAAGUAGAUGUGAGUAAACCAUCUUAAGAGUUCUGUCUAGAAAGUCUUUAGUUUAGUGGCUGUUUGGGAGAGCUGUGUUCCCGGUCCCAGGGCUGAUGCUUGAUGUGGUUUUGCCUUUUUGCUCUUCUCCUUUUGUGGGUUGCUUGUAAAAAUUGGCGGUUCUAUAAUGAAAACCAUCCAGCGACCUUAGAUUUUGAAAGCCUCACAGUUCUUUUUCUCUCUCACUUCAUUCUCUAGGUUAUGAAAGGUUUUUUGGUGAUAUCGAGGAAUAAAAAAUGCAUGAAUUUCGCAGGAAGAAAAAUGCCUAAAAUUGCCAUUGCAAAACAAUAAAUAGAAGAAAGGCAAAAACCACAUAAAUUUGCAAGGCCAAAAUGUAAACAUUUCCAUGGACCCCCCCCCCCCACUACUAGGGAAAAGCCUAGCAGCAGCGCGGGUUUUAGGCCUAUCAGUAGCGCGGGAAGGAGCGCUACUGAUAAGGCGCUACAGCUAAACCUUAGCAAUAGCGCGCCUAGAUCCACGCUACUACUAAAUUGACUUAGUAGUAGCGGUUCUUCGGAACCGUGCUACUGGUAAUUAGUAGUAGCGCUUCUCCUUUCCCGCGCUACUACUAUUAUUUAGUAUUUUAUUUCUUUUUUAUUUCAUGUUGUAUUCAUACACCUUUACACAAGUUUUCAUACAACAGGAAUUUAGAGAUUGUUUUUACAUCAUAAUGAGUUAUUACAUUGCGGGGUGAAAGAACCGUCGACUAGUUUCAAGUGGAUGUCCAUCCACUAGAAACUAAUCCAUGGUUCUUUCACCCAAUGAUAUAAUAAUAUCAUCAUCAUCAUCAUCAUAUCAUUAACAACUUAUCAUCAUAAUACAUCAUUGUCAUAUAACACCUCCUCAAGAUCAUCGUUUUCAUCAAUGACAUCACAUAGCAAAUUGGUCACUAGUCGUAAUCACAAGUACUCCUCAUUAUCAACUCUAACACAUUACCACAUAAUAAACAUAUUAUACCUCAUAGGACCUACUACAUUCGAUUAAGACCUACUACAUUUUCUAAGGUAAAAUAGCAAAAAACAAGAUAGCCCCUGACUCUCCAUUAUGGAGAAUGGAGAUUAGCCUGUCUCCAAUUCUUGCCUUUCGCUGAAUGUUACUUCCAAGAACCUCCUUGCGAAUGUCCAUACAUUUCUUCCAUUCUUUGAUGAUCAUGUGUUCACCGGUUUUAGAAAUCCGAUAUGCACAGGUGAGCUCCCUAGAUUUACCUGGCAGUAUGUUCAGAACCGAGAGGCGACCAUUCAGAGACAUCAGAUGAGGCACACAAUCCAUCGGGAGUUUCUGUUGAAAAACAUAAUAAUAAAUUCGUAGUUAGCAAUGAUGUACUAGUUUUAGAAGUAUGCAAAAGAUGCACGGAUGUCGUAAUAGUAAAAAAUCUUACCAGGGUAUCUCCAGAGAAGUUACCGUGGUUCAACACAUGCACUAGUGGCACGUAUUCACCAUAAUUUGGAGGAGUUCGAUAAUAGUUAUUGUAAUUCUCAAGAAGAGUACAAAAUGUGAUCAGAUGAUUUUUCUCCUUAUACGUUAAUUCGGUGCCAUCGGUGUAGUCGGUUUUAUCUACCAUCUUCCGCACAGUCUUUGAAGAAUCAAAAUAAGCUGUCAAUGGAAAUAAGCUAUCAACUAUUUUGAAAUAAACAAUAUAAAUUAGUUAAUAACUAUGUUUGAGAAACUCACAUAGCGGUACAACCGGAAGCGUAUCUACAAGGACCCAAAUGUCCAUAUUGUCUUGCUCGAUGUCAGGAUCACCAAGAUCCAUGGUGACAAUCAUAACCUCAUAAAAACCAUACAUUUUGCAAAGUGCUUCCCAAUUUUGGCAACCAAAAUGGGUUACGCUCUGAGCAUUGCACAGAUUUACUUUAAAUCCAUAUCAUGAUGGAUCCUUAGGUGUAUAUUCUUUGUUUCAAAAUUUUCAUGGUCUUCAAAACCCAUCCUCUCCAAGACAAAGCGUCUUGCAUGGCAUGGAAUAAGCUAGUCGAAUUGUAAAAUAUGAAAAUUAGACGUUGAAAUAGUUGAAGUCAUGCUUAAUUACGAAAAAACACUUGUCAUUGUUGCGUACCGUUUUAACAUCGAAGGUCUCCUCGAGCUUAAUGCUGAAGCGCCGAUCUUCGUCCAGCUCAACGAACCUGUCGCACAUACCUCGAUCGUCGUGGCACCAGCUGCACUCCCCCGGGAGACUGUCGUCGUCCGAGUACGACAUUUCCUACGUUCAUAAUUCAAAGAUUAAACUUGUACAUAUUCUAGCACAAGUCAUGCCAGAAUUCACGAAAAAAAUCCGGCAUGACCUUUGCUAAAAAAGGACAUAUCGAGCGCCUAAAAUUUGCCGGAACGAAAAUUAAUCAACACUCCGGCAAAACAUAGGCCACUCGGAGAUGUAAAAUGAACAUGAACGGCCACUUGGGCAACCACAUAUCCUAUUUGAGCAACAACACAAGAUAUACAAGGAUAUUUGGCUGGUCUCACCUCGAUGUCGGAGGGGGUCGGUGACUGGGAUGACGGCGGGGAUGUCGGAGGGGGUCGGUGACGGGGACGACGAUGGUCACCUGAAACCGUAUAAGUUAUCACUAAUACAUCCCGAAUAAUUGCUUAAACUAAAAAAAUAACAACAAAUAUGACAUGUUCAACUAGUUUUAUUAAUUCAACUAGCUCUUACUAAAUAUAAACUUACUAUAAAUAGAAAAAAAACUAGUUCUUUCUAAAAAUAAAGUAGUUCAACUAGUUAUAUUAAUUAUCUUACUAAAAAUACGUUAGUUCUAUUAAUUCAACUAGUUUAUUAAUUUACUUGGUAAACUAGUUCAACUACAACUAAAGUAGUUCAACUACAACUACUAUUAAUCAUACUGCCCUAGUUAACUAGUACCAUCACUACUAGUAAUUAACAUCUACUACUAAAAAUCUAGUACUAAUGUCAACCCUAAAUUAACACCUACUACUACUAAAAAUCUAGUACUAACUAAGAAACAUCUAGUACUAGCUAUGAACCCUAAAUUAACAUCUACUACUACUAAAUCUAGUACUAACUAGUGGCAGGGGGUGGGGGGCGACGGAGAGGUAGCUAGGGGCGGCGAGGGCGGGAUCGGGAUCGGGAGGUGNNNNNNNNNNNNNNNNNNNNNNNNNNNNNNNNNNNNNNNNNNNNNNNNNNNNNNNNNNNNNNNNNNNNNNNNNNNNNNNNNNNNNNNNNNNNNNNNNNNNNNNNNNNNNNNNNNNNNNNNNNNNNNNNNNNNNNNNNNNNNNNNNNNNNNNNNNNNNNNNNNNNNNNNNNNNNNNNNNNNNNNNNNNNNNNNNNNNNNNNNNNNNNNNNNNNNNNNNNNNNNNNNNNNNNNNNNNNNNNNNNNNNNNNNNNNNNNNNNNNNNNNNNNNNNNNNNNNNNNNNNNNNNNNNNNNNNNNNNNNNNNNNNNNNNNNNNNNNNNNNNNNNNNNNNNNNNNNNNNNNNNNNNNNNNNNNNNNNNNNNNNNNNNNNNNNNNNNNNNNNNNNNNNNNNNNNNNNNNNNNNNNNNNNNNNNNNNNNNNNNNNNNNNNNNNNNNNNNNNNNNNNNNNNNNNNNNNNNNNNNNNNNNNNNNNNNNNNNNNNNNNNNNNNNNNNNNNNNNNNNNNNNNNNNNNNNNNNNNNNNNNNNNNNNNNNNNNNNNNNNNNNNNNNNNNNNNNNNNNNNNNNNNNNNNNNNNNNNNNNNNNNNNNNNNNNNNNNNNNNNNNNNNNNNNNNNNNNNNNGCAAUUAGAGCAGUAGCGCGUUUUACGGUGGACGCGCUACUGCUAUUUUCCUUUCAGCAGCGCGUUUUGCUAUCACGCGCUACUGCUAAGUAGCAGUAGCGUUGUAUUUUGAGCAGCGCUGCUGGUAAGUUUCUGUGUAUAGGCUUUUCCCUAGUAGUGCCCCCUCCCCCUAAAUUGCUAUCUCAAACAAUCUUAAUAAAAAUUUAUAAAUUUGCCAGGACAAAAAAAUGUUGUCAUCAUGUUUUUCGAAGAGUUGCCCUCACUACCCCAUAUUUCCAUUCUGAACAGUAAAACAAAAUUGCCACACCCCUAGAUGAGUAUACCAUGUGCAAAUGUGUGUGAAAAAAUGUGGAGUGGCUACCAUGGGUAUUGCAAUGGCGCAAAAAGACCACAAGUUUUCAAAAAGAUUUCAUACACACAAAAAAAAAGAAAAGGUUGCCAUGAUCUUUAAAAAGUGCCAGCGGCAGAUAGUUGCGAGUUGUUGAUAAUAAAUUUGCCAUGAUGUAUGUAACACAAAAAAGAAAAGGUUGCCAUGAUAUUUAAAAAGAACUAGGGGCGGGGGGCAUGUUGUGGAUAGUAAAUUUGCCAUGUCCUAGAUAGUAAAUUUGCCAUGAUGUAUGUAAUACAGAAAAAAAGUUGUCAUGAUCUGUAAAAAGAACUGGAGCGAGAUAGUUGCCAUGUUGUAGACAACAAAAUUUGCCACAUAUCUAGGAUUUGUAUAAAAUAUGCCAUAUAUCUAGGAUUUGAAUAUAGAUAACACAAAAGAAAGGUUGCCAUGAUUUAUGGAGAAAAAAAUCCUAAAAUUUGGCAUGUGACUAGUAUAUUUUUUUUAACAAUUGCCAUGAUUUUUUUGUAAGAAAUGCCAUGAUGUUUGUGCUUUUCCUAAUGUAUGAAUAAUUGCAUUCCAUGACAAGAAAAUUUGGCAUGAUGUAAAAAAAGAUUUGACGGACACAAGAAAUAUCAAAAAUUGACAAGAUUUUAGAAAACAAAUUCCUGAAUAUUUUAGCCAUGUAACCAUUAGACAUUUGCAAAAAGAUACCAUGUAUGAGAACAAAAUUCCAAAAAAUUCCAUGACACUGUUACAUAUUUGCAAAAAACUUACUAUGUACAAUAGAACGAAAGUUCCUAGACUUUCCAUGUGGCCAUCAUAAACAACUAUAAAAUAUCUCUUCUUUGUUUCCUUGGAGUGCAGGUACUUUUCACCAAUAUUUUCGCCACUGUAAGGGCUUCUUUGUGUUUCUCCGAGAAAUUUGGGAUCCUUCACUAUUUUGGCAGUGUUUUGUGGAAAAAGGGCCACCACCCUCAUUUUGGGUCGUAUAAGGCCCGGGGGCACAAUGAGAGCUGGGGUUGUAGAAAAACAUUGUAAGUUUAACCUAUAGGAAAAUAUCAGCAACCACAAUACCAAAUCAAUAUCUAUGAUGAAUACAUUUUCAUAAUGUAUUUAAUGGUACUAUAUAGACUGGUAUUUUCUGGGACACCUGGUAUUUUAACAGUUUUGACUUGAGACUAGAUGAAUAUGCCUUGUAAUCCAGAAUGAAGGGCAUAGUUGUUGUAGUAUUUAGUUUGGCCAGCCAAUUUUGAUAAAGAUAGUGUUGGGGAACAUAGCAGAAAUUCAAAAUUUUCCUACGUGUCACCAAGAUCUAUCUAUGGAGAGACUAGCAACGAGGGGAAGGAGAGUGCAUCUACAUACCCUUGUAGAUCGCUAAGCGGAAGCGUUCAAGUGAACGGGGUUGAUGGAGUCGUACUCGUCGUGAUUCAGAUCACCGAUGAUCCUAGUGCCGAACGGACGGCACCUCCGCGUUCAACACACGUACGGAACGGAGACGUCUCCCACGCCUUGAUCCAGCAAGGAGGAGGGAGAGGUUGAUGGAGAUCCAGCAGCACGACGGCGUGGUGGAAGUAGCGGGAUUCCAACAGGGCUUCGCUAAGCGCUGCGGGAGGAGGGAGAUGUAUCACGGGAGGGAGAGGGAGGCGCCAGGCCUUAGGUCUGAUUGCUCCUCCUUUUCCCCACUAUAUAUAGGGCCAAGGGAGAGGGGAAGGGCGCAGCCUUGCCCCUUCCUCCAAGGAAGGGUGCGGCCAAGGGUGGGGAGGAGUCCAUCCUCCCCAAGGCACCUCGGAGGUGCCUUCCCCCUUUAGGACUCUCCCCUCUUUUUCCUCUCUUGGCGCAUGUGCCUCUUGGGGCUGGUGCCCUUGGCCCAUGUAGGCCAAGGCGCACCCCCUACAGCCCAUGUGGCCCCCCGGGGCAGGUGGCCCCACCCGGUGGGCCCCCGGGACCCUUCUGUGGUCCCGGUACAAUACCGAUGACCCCGAAACUUGUCCCGAUGGCCGAAACAGGACUUCCUAUAUAUAAAUCUUUACCUCCGGACCAUUCCGGAACUCCUCGUGACGUCCGGGAUCUCAUCCGGGACUCCGAACAACUUUCGGGUUACCGCAUACUAAUAUCUCUAUAACCCUAGCGUCACCGAACCUUAAGUGUGUAGACCCUACGGGUUCGGGAGACAUGUAGACAUGACCGAGACGUUCUCCGGUCAAUAACCAACAGCGGGAUCUGGAUACCCAUGUUGGCUCCCACAUGUUCCACGAUGAUCUCAUCGGAUGAACCACGAUGUCAAGGACUCAAUCAAUCCCGUAUACAAUUCCCUUUGUCUAGCGGUAUGGUACUUGCCCGAGAUUCGAUCGUCGGUAUACCGAUACCUUGUUCAAUCUCGUUACCGGCAAGUCUCUUUACUCGUUCCGUAACACAUCAUCCCGUGAUCAACCCCUUGGUCACAUUGUGCACAUUAUGAUGAUGUCCUACCGAGUGGGCCCAGAGAUACCUCUCCGUUUACACGGAGUGACAAAAUCCCAAUCUCGAUUCGUGCCAACCCAACAGACACUUUCAGAGAUACCCGUAGUGUACCUUUAUAGCCACCCAGUUACGUUGUGACGUUUGGCACACCCAAAGCACUCCUACGGUAUCCGGGAGUUGCACAAUCUCAUGGUCUAAGGAAAUGAUACUUGACAUUAGAAAAGCUUUAGCAUACGAACUACAUGAUAUUGUGCUAGGCUUAGGAUUGGGUCUUGUCCAUCACAUCAUUCUCCUAAUGAUGUGAUCCCGUUAUCAACGACAUCCAAUGUCCAUGGUCAGGAAACCGUAACCAUCUAUUGAUUAACGAGCUAGUCAACUAGAGGCUUACUAGGGACAUGGUGUUGUCUAUGUAUCCACACAUGUAUCUGAGUUUCCUAUCAAUACAAUUCUAGCAUGGAUAAUAAACGAUUAUCAUGAACAAGGAAAUAUAAUAAUAAUCAAUUUAUUAUUGCCUCUAGGGCAUAUUUCCAACAGUCUCCCACUUGCACUAGAGUCAAUAAUCUAGUUCACAUCGAUAUGUGAUUAACACUCAAGGUCACAUCACCAUGUGACUAACACCCAAAGAGUUUACUAGAGUCAAUAAUCUAGUUCACAUUUACCAUGUGAUUAACACUCGAUGAGUUCUGGGUUUGAUCAUGUUAUGCUUGUGAGAGAGGUUAUAGUCAACGGGUCUGAACCUUUCAGAUCCGUGUGUGCUUUACAAAUCUCUAUGUCAUCUCCUAGAUGCAGCUACCACGUUCUAUUUGGAGCUAUUCCAAAUAACUGUUCUACUUGGAGCUAUUCUAAAUUGUUGCUCCAUUAUACGUAUCCGGUAUCUCUACUCAGAGCUAUCCGGAUAGGUGUUAAGCUUGCAUCGACGUAACCCUUUACGACGAACUCUUUUACCACCUCCAUAAUUGAGAAAAUUCCUUAGUCCACUAGUUACUAAGGAUAACUUUGACCACUGUCCUGUGAUCCAUUCUUGGAUCACUCUUGUACCCCUUGACUGACUCAUGGUAAAGCACACUUCAGGUGCAGUACACAGCAUAGCAUACUAUAGAGCCUAUGUCUUAAGCAUAGGGGACGACCUUCGUUCCUUUCUCUCUAUUCUGCCAUGGUCGAGCUUUAAGUCUUAACUUCAUACCUUACAACUCAGGCAAGAACUCCUUUGACUGAUCCAUCUUGAACACCUUCAAGAUCACGUCAAGGCAUGUGCUCAUUUGGAAGUACUAUUAAGCGUUUUGAUCUAUCCUUAUAGAUCUUGAUGCUCAAUGUUCAAGUAGCUUAAUCCAGGUUUUCCAUUGAAAACACUUUCCAAAUAACCCUAUAUGCUUUCCAGAAAUUCUACGCCAUUUCUGAUCAUUAAUAUGUCAACAACAUAUACUCAUCAGAAAUUCUAUAGUGCUCCCACUCACUUCUUUGGAAAUACAAGUUUCUCAUAAACUUUGUAUACACCCAAAAUCUUUGAUCAUCAUCAAAGCAUACAUUCCAACUCCGAGAUGCUCACUCCAGUCCUCAGAAGGAUUGCUGGAGCUUUGCAUACUUAUUAGCAUAUUUCAGGAUAGACAAAACCUUCCGGUUGUAUCAUAUACAACCUUUCCUCAAGAAUCGUCGAGGAAACAAUGUUUUGACAUCCUAUCUGCAAGAUUUCAUAAAUAAUGCAGCAAUUGCUAAUAUAAUUCCAACAGACUCUUAGCAUCGCUACGAGUGAGAAAGUCUCAUCGUAGUCAACUCCUUGAACUUGUCGAAAAACAUCUUAACGACAAGUCGAGCUUUCUCAAUGGUGACACUUACCAUCAUUGUCUGUCUUCCUUUCAAAAUCCAUAUGUACCUAACAGCCUUACGACCAUCAAGUAGUUCUUCCAAAGUCUACACUUUGUUUUCAUAUAUGGAUCCUCUCUCGGAUUACAUGGCCUCGAGCCAUUUAUCGGAAUCCGGGCCCACCAUCGCUUCUCCAUAGCUCGUAGGUUCAUUGUUGUCUAGCAACAUGACUUCCAAGACAGGAUUACGUACCACUCUAAAGUAGUACGCAUCCUUGUCAUCCCACGAGGUUUGGUAGUGACUCGAUCCGAAGUUUCAUGAUCACUAUCAUAAGCUUCCACUUCAGUUGGUGUACGUGCCACAGGAACAACUUCCUGUGCCCUGCUACACACUUGUUGAAGUGACGGUUCAAUAACCUCAUCAAGUCUCCACCAUCCUCCUACUCAACUUUUCGAGAGAAACCUUUCCUCGAAAAAGGACCCGAUUCAAGAAACAAUCCCUAUUGCUUUCGGAUCUGAAUUAGGAGGUAUACCCAACUGUUUUUGGGUGUCCUAUGAAGAUGCAUUUUAUCUGCUUUGGGUUCGAGCUUAUCAACCUGAAACCUUUUCACAUAAGCGUCGCAGCCCCAAACUUUCAAGAAACGGCAACUUAGGUUUCUCCAAACCAUAGUUCAUACGGUGUCGUCUCAACGAAAUUAUGUGGUGCCCUAUUUAAAGUGAAUGUGGUUGUCUCUAAUGCCUAACCCAUGAACGAUAGUGGUAACUCGAUAAGAGACAUCAUGGUAUGCACCAUAUCCAAUAGGGUGCAACUAUGACGUUUGGACACACGAUCACACUAUGGUGUUCCAGGCUGUAUCAGUUGUGAAACAAUUUCCACAAUGUCUUAAUUCUGUGCCAAACUCGUGAUUCAGAUAUUCAUCUCUAUGAUCAUAUCAUAGAUCUUUUAUCCUCUUGUCACGACGAUCUUUCAACUUCACACUGAAAUUACUUGAACCUUUCAAUAAUUCAGACUCGUGAUUCAUCAAGUAAAUAUACUCAACAUCUACUUGAAUCAUCUGUGAAGUAAGAACAUAACGAUAUUCACUGCAUGCCUCAGCACUCAUUGGACUGCACACAUCAAAAUGUGUUACUUCCAACAAGUUGAUAUCUUGUUCCAUCUUACUGAAAACGAGGCUUUUCAGUCAUCUUGCCCAUGUGGUAUGAUUUGCAUGUCCCAAGUGAUUCAAAAUCAAGUGAGUCAAAACGGUCCAUUUGCAUGGAGUUUCUUCAUGCAUAUACACCAAUAGACAUGGUUCGCAUGUCUCAAACUUUUCAAAAACGAGUGAGCCCAAAGAUCCAUCAAUAUGGAGCUUCUUCAUGCGUUUUAUACCGAUAUGACUUACGUGGCAGUGCCACAAGUAGGUGGUACUAUCAUUACUAUCUUUUGGCAUGAACAUGUGUAUCACUACGAUCUAGAUUUAAUAAACCAUUCAUUUUAGGUGUAAGACCAUUGAAGGUAUUAUUCAAAUAAACAGAGUAACCAUUAUUCUCCUUAAAUGAAUAACCGUAUUGCGAUAGACGUAAUCCAAUCAUGUCUAUGCUCAACGCAAACACCAAAUAACAAUUAUUUAGGUUUAACACCAACCUCUUUGGUAGAGGGAGCGUGCGAUGCUUGAUCAUAUCAAGCUUGGAAAAAACUUCCAACACAUAUCGUCAGCUCACCUUUAGCUAGUCUCCGUUUAUUCCGUAGCCUUUUGUUUCGAGUUACUAACACUUAGCAACCGAACCGGUAUCUAAUACCCUGGUGCUACUAGGAGUACUAGCAAAGUACACAUUAACACAAUGUAUAUCCAAUAUACUUCUAUCGACCUUGCCAGCCUUCUUAUCUACCAAGUAUCUAGGGUAAUUCUGCUCUAGUGGUUGUUCCCCUUAUUACAGAAGCACUUAGUCUCGGGUUUGGGUUUUACCUUGGGUUUCUUCACUAGAGCAGCAGCUGAUUUUCCGUUUCAUGAAGUAUCCCUUCUUGCCCUUGCCCUUCUUGAAACUAGUGGUUUCACCAACCAUCAAAAAUUGAUGCUCCUUCUUGAUUUCUACUUUCGCGGUGUCAAACAUCGCGAAUACCUCAAGGAUCAUCAUAUCUAUCCCUGAUAUGUUAUAGUUCAUCACGAAGCUCUAACAGCUUGGUGGCAAUGACUUUGGAGAACCAUCACUGUCUUAUCUGGAAGAUCAACUCCCACUCGAUUCAAAUGAUUGUUGUACUCAGACAAUCUGAGCACAAGCUCAACAAUUGAGCUUUUCUCCUUAGUUUGCAGGUUAAGAAAGUCAUCGGAGGUCUUAUACCUCUUGACAUGGGCACGAGCCUGAAAUCCCAAUUUCAGCCCUCAAAACAUCUCAUAUGUUUCGCGAUGUUUCAAAAACGUCUUUGGUGCCUCAACUCUAAACCGUUUAACUGAACUAUCACGUAGUUAUCAAAACGUGUACGUCAGAUGUUCGCAACAACCACAGACAACGUUCGAGGUUCAGCACACUGAGCGGUGCAUUAAGGACAUAAGCCUUCUAUGAAGCAAUGAGGACAAUCCUCAGUUUACGGACCUAGUCCGCAUAAUUGCUACUAUCAACUUUCAACUAAUUUUUCUCUAGGAACAUAACUAAACAGUAGAACUAUAGCGUGAGCUACGACAUAAUUUGCAAAAACCUUUUGACUAUGUUCAGGAUAAUUAAGUUCAUCUUAUGAACUCCCACUCAGAUAGACAUCCCUCUAGUCAUCUAAGUGAUUACAUGAUCCGAGUCAAACUAGGCCGUGUCCGAUCAUCACGUGAGACGGACUAGUCAUCAUCGGUGAACAUCUUCAUGUUGAUCGUAUCUUCUAUACGACUCAUGUUCGACCUUUCGGUCUCCGUGUUCCGAGGCCAUGUCUGUACAUGCUAGGCUCAUCAAGUUAACCCUAAGUGUUUCGCGUGUGUAAAUCUGUCUUACACCCGUUGUAUGUGAACGUUAGAAUCUAACACCCGAUCAUCACGUGGUGCUUCGAAACACGAACUGUCGCAACGGUGCACAGUUAGGGGAGAACACUUCUUGAAAUUGUUGUUAGGGAUCAUCUUAUUUACUACCGUCGUUCUAAGCAAAUAAGAUGUAUAAACAUGAUAAACAUCACAUGCAAUCAAAUAGUGACAUGAUAUGGCCAUCAUCACUUUGCUCCUUUUGAUCUCCAUCUUCGGGGCUCCUUGAUCAUCAUCGUCACCGACAUGACACCAUGAUCUCCAUCAUCAUGAUCUCCAUCAUCGUGUCUUCAUGAAGUUGCCUUGCCAACUAUUACUUCUACUACUAUGGCUAACGGUUAGCAAUAAAGUAAAGUAAUUACAUGACGUUUAAGUUGACACGCAGGUCACAAAUAAAUAAACACAACUCCUAUGGCUCCUGCCGGUUGUCAUACUCAUCGACAUGCAAGUCGUGAUUCCUAUUACAAGAACAUGAUCAAUCUCAUACAUCACAUAUAUCAUUCAUCACAUCCUUUUUGGCCAUAUCACAUCACAUAGCAUACCCUGCAAAAACAAGUUAGACGUCCUCUAAUUGUUGUUUGCAUGUUUUACGUGGCUGCUAUGGGUUUCUAGCAAGAACGUUUCUUACCUACGCAUGAACCACAACGUGAUAUGCCAAUUGCUAUUUACCCUUCAUAAGGACCCUUUUCAUCGAAUCCGAUCCGACUAAAGUGGGAGAGACAGACACCCGCCAGCCACCUUAUGCAACUAGUGCAUGUUUGUCGGUGGAACCGGUCUCACGUAAGCGUACGUGUAAGGUUGGUCCGGGCAGCUUCAUCCCACGAUGCCGCCGAAUCAAGAUAAGACUAGUAACGGCAAGCAUAUUGAACAAUAUCGACGCCCACAACUACUUUGUGUUCUACUCGUGCAAAGAAUCUACGCAAUAGACCUAGCUCAUGAUGCCACUGUUGGGGAACGUAGCAGAAAUUCAAAAUUUUCCUACGUGUCACCAAGAUCUAUCUAUGGAGAGACUAGCAACGAGGGGAAGGAGAGUGCAUCUACAUACCCUUGUAGAUCGCUAAGCGGAAGCGUUCAAGUGAACGGGGUUGAUGGAGUCGUACUCGUCGUGAUUCAGAUCACCGAUGAUCCUAGUGCCGAACGGACGGCACCUCCGCGUUCAACACACGUACGGAACGGAGACGUCUCCCACGCCUUGAUCCAGCAAGGAGGAGGGAGAGGUUGAUGGAGAUCCAGCAGCACGACGGCGUGGUGGAAGUAGCGGGAUUCCAACAGGGCUUCGCUAAGCGCUGCGGGAGGAGGGAGAUGUAUCACGGGAGGGAGAGGGAGGCGCCAGGCCUUAGGUCUGAUUGCUCCUCCUUUUCCCCACUAUAUAUAGGGCCAAGGGAGAGGGGAAGGGCGCAGCCUUGCCCCUUCCUCCAAGGAAGGGUGCGGCCAAGGGUGGGGAGGAGUCCAUCCUCCCCAAGGCACCUCGGAGGUGCCUUCCCCCUUUAGGACUCUCCCCUCUUUUUCCUCUCUUGGCGCAUGGGCCUCUUGGGGCUGGUGCCCUUGGCCCAUGUAGGCCAAGGCGCACCCCUACAGCCCAUGUGGCCCCCCGGGGCAGGUGGCCCCACCCGGAACCCUUCCGGUGGUCCCGGUACAAUACCGAUGACCCCGAAACUUGUCCCGAUGGCCGAAACAGGACUUCCUAUAUAUAAAUCUUUACCUCCGGACCAUUCCGGAACUCCUCGUGACGUCCGGGAUCUCAUCCGGGACUCCGAACAACUUUCGGGUUACCGCAUACUAAUAUCUCUAUAACCCUAGCGUCACCGAACCUUAAGUGUGUAGACCCUACGGGUUCGGGAGACAUGUAGACAUGACCGAGACGUUCUCCGGUCUAUAACCAACAGCGGGAUGUGGAUACCCAUGUUGGCUCCCACAUGUUCCACGAUGAUCUCAUCGGAUGAACCACGAUGUCAAGGACUCAAUCAAUCCCGUAUACAAUUCCCUUUGUCUAGCGGUAUGGUACUUGCCUGAGAUUCGAUCGUCGGUAUACCGAUACCUUGUUCAAUCUCGUUACCGGCAAGUCUCUUUACUUGUUCCGUAACACAUCAUCCCGUGAUCAACCCCUUGGUCACAUUGUGCACAUUAUGAUGAUGUCCUACCGAGUGGGCCCAGAGAUACCUCUCCGUUUACACAGAGUGACAAAAUCCCAAUCUCGAUUCGUGCCAACCCAACAGACACUUUCAGAGAUACCCGUAGUGUACCUUUAUAGCCACCCAGUUACGUUGUGACGUUUGGCACACCCAAAGCACUCCUACGGUAUCCGGGAGUUGCACAAUCUCAUGGUCUAAGGAAAUGAUACUUGACAUUAGAAAAGCUUUAGCAUACGAACUACAUGAUCUUGUGCUAGGCUUAGGAUUGGGUCUUGUCCAUCACAUCAUUCUCCUAAUGAUGUGAUCCCGUUAUCAACGACAUCCAAUGUCCAUGGUCAGGAAACCGUAACCAUCUAUUGAUUAACGAGCUAGUCAACUAGAGGCUUACUAGGGACAUGGUGUUGUCUAUGUAUCCACAAAUGUAUCUGAGUUUCCUAUCAAUACAAUUCUAGCAUGGAUAAUAAACGAUUAUCAUGAACAAGGAAAUAUAAUAAUAAUCAAUUUAUUAUUGCCUCUAGGGCAUAUUUCCAACAGAUAGUACAUCUUACUGUGAAUUACUAAGAGAAGUGUGCCUUCAUGAUCAUGAAUAGCCAUUAAGAUGCUUAGGGCACUCCAAUUGCAUUGGCUUUUUGUGCGUUCAUAGGUGGUGAACAAAAUAUUAGAGACCAUGAUCUGGUGUAUGUACUAUAUUUAAGUGAUGUUGCACAUUGAUUUAGGGAUUAGGAUUGCAGCUAAAAAUUGUGGUUUGGUUACAAAUAUGAGGAAGUGAGAGAAUGAUAGGAAGAGAAGCCACACAAGAUCUGAGUAUUAUUACAUUGCAAAAUGAAACGAGCUAAGACCUGUAUCUGCACUAACAUAUAACUCCCUAUUAUCUCUUCAUAAUUAUUAUGGCUUGUCAGCAUUUACUUAUGAAAAUGUGCUAAAGAACAAGCACUAGGAGUGCCCUGAUAAACAACUAUUCUAUCCCAUGUAAAAUGUGAGACCUCCAUGCAUGUAUUCAAGUAUUUAGAGUUUAAGUAAUAAUUAUAGCAAUAUCAUAUGGAUUAUGUGGUGCGAAACUAGUAUCGAUAAUUUUUUUAUGAAUCGGAUGAUACUUUUUUUGUAAUGUAACUACAUUAGUGUAAAAUUAAUAAUUAAAGUUGAAUGUCAGGAUACGUAGGAGUCUUACAUUAUAAGAAAAAAGGUGCUACUGUGUAUAUUUAUAGAGCUAGACCUCGCUCCGCUCUGUACCUAUUUAGGGUUCUAUUUUCUCAUUCGCACAUUUUCCAGUUUAAUUUCAACUGUCCCAUGACUAUAGGGUCUCGAAAAUAAUGAUUGCUCUAGAUAAAACUAAGCAAUAAUGCAUUGUGUAACAUGUUUUAUUGUCUUCUCUAAAUAAUUACUUUGACCUUUAAUUUCUAAGAAUCUUCUCAAUAUAACAGAUGAAAGGAACACAGAAUUUUGAAGAUUAGUCAAUGAGUGAAUCGGAAAGAAAGGAGUGUAAAACUUCGAUCAACUAGCUUUCAAACAAAAAAGCCUUUGAUCAACUCAUGGUUGUCAUGUUGCUGUAAGUAAUAUUAACAUAUAAGAGUGUCAUAUCAACUACUCCCUCCAUUCCAAAAUUACUCGUCAUCAUUUUAGUUCAAAUUUGAAUUAAAACUAUGAUGAGUAAUUUGGAACGGAGGGAGUACUGUACAUGCUCUAAUUUUUUUCUUUUAAAUAUGCAUUUCUAAUAUACGGUGUAGAAACAGUUUCAUGCAUUACGCAUCCCUGCAUUUCUAAUGUAUGAUGUUGAAGAAUAGUUUCCAUGCAUUACGCAUCCCUGCAUCUCUGUAUCUUAAUUACCAAUUAAAUAGGACCACGGAAUGGACGAAAUAGAGAGGAACGGCGAGUCAGGUCGUAUACAGCCGGGUAGAAGAUAAGAUUUGCGGUCCUGGAUCUGGAUGUGAUAAGAUUUGCCAUGAUGUAUGUAACACAAAAAAAGAAAACGUUGCCAUGAUAUUUAAGAAGAACUAGGGGUGGGGGGCAUGUUGUGGAUAGUAAAUUUGCCAUGUCCUAGAUAGUAAAUUUGCCAUGAUGUAUGUAAUACAGAAAAAAAAAGUUGUCAUGAUCUGUAAAAAGAACUGGAGCGAGAUAGUUGCCAUGUUGUAGACAACAAAAUUUGCCACAUAUCUAGGAUUUGUAUAAAAUAUGCCAUAUAUCUAGGAUUUGAAUAUAGAUAACACAAAAGAAAGGUUGCCAUGAUUUAUGGAGAACAAAAAUCCUAAAAUUUGGCAUGUGACUAGUAUAUUUUUUUUUAACAAUUGCCAUGAUUUUUUUGUAAGAAAUGCCAUGAUGUUUGUGCUUUUCCUAAUGUAUGAAUAAUUGCAUUCCAUGACAAGAAAAUUUGGCAUGAUGUAAAAAAAGAUUUGACGGACACAAGAAAUAACAAAAAUUGACAUGAUUUUAGAAAACAAAUUCCUGAAUAUUUUAGCCAUGUAACCAUUAGACAUUUGCAAAAAGAUACCAUGUAUGAGAACAAAAUUCCAAAAAAUUCCAUGACACUGUUACAUAUUUGCAAAAAACUUACUAUGUACAAGAGAACGAAAGUUCAUAGACUUUCCAUGUGGCCAUUAUAAACAACUAUAAAAUAUCUCUUCUUUGUUUCCUUGGAGUGCAGGUACUUUUCACCAAUAUUUUCACCACUGUAAGGGCUUCUUUGUGUUUCUCCGAGAAAUUUGGGAUCCUUCAAUAUUUUGGUAGUGUUUUGUGGAAAAAGGGCCACCACCCUCAUUUUUGGGUCGUAUAAGGCCCGGGGGCACAAUGAGAGCUGGGGUUGUGGAAAAACAUUGUAAGUUUAACCUAUAGGAAAAUAUCAGCAACCACAAUACCAAAUCAAUAUCUAUGAUGAAUACAUUUUCAUAAUGUAUUUAAUGGCACUAUAUAGACUGGUAUUUUCUGGGACACCUGGUAUUUUAACAGUUUUGACUUGAGACUAGAUGAAUAUGCCUUGUAAUCCAGAAUGAAGAGCAUAGUUGUUGUAGUAUUUAGUUUGGCCAGCCAAUUUUGAUAAAGAUAGUACAUCUUACUGUGAAUUACUAAGAGAAGUGUGCCUUCAUGAUCAUGAAUAGCCAUUAAGAUGCUUAGGGCACUCCAAUUGCAAUGGCUUUUUGUGCGUUCAUAGGUGGUGAACAAAAUAUUAGAGACCAUGAUCUGGUGUAUGUACUAUAUUUAAGUGAUGUUGCAUUUCAUUGAUUUAGGGAUUAGGAUUGCCGCUAAAAAUUGUGGUCUGGUUACAAAUAUGAGGAAGUGAGAGAAUGAUAGGAAGAGAAGCCACACAAGAUCUGAGUAUUAUUACACUACAAAAUGAAACGAGCUAAGACCUGUAUCUGCACUAACAUAUAACUCCCUAUUAUCUCUUCAUAAUUAUUAUGGCUUGUCAGCAUUUACUUAUGAAAAUGUGCUAAAGAACAAGCACUAGGAGUGCCCUGAUAAACAACUAUUCUAUCCCAUGUAAAAUGUGAGACCUCCAUGCAUGUAUUCAAGUAUUUAGAGUUUAAGUAAUAAUUAUAGCAAUAUCAUAUGGAUUAUGUGGUGCGAAACUGGUAUCGAUAAUUUUUUUAUGAAUCGGAUGAUACUUUUUUUGUAAUGUAACUACAUUAGUGUAAUAUUAAUAAUUAAAGUUGAAUGUCAGGAUACGUAGGAGUCUUACAUUAUAAGAAAAAAGGUGCUACUGUGUAUAUUUAUAGAGCUAGACCUCGCUCCACUCUGUACCCAUUUAGUGUUCUAUUUUCUCAUUCACACAUUUUCUAGUUUAAUUUCAACUGCCCCAUGACUGUAGGGUCUCGAAAAUAAUGAUUGCUCUAGAUAAAACUAAGCAAUAAUGCAUUGUGUAACAUGUUUUAUUGUCUUAUCUAAAUAAUUACUUUGACCUUUAAUUUGUAAGAAUCUUCUCAAUAUAACAGAUGAAAGGAGCACAGAAUUUUGAAGAUUAGUCAAUGAGUGAAUCGGAAAGAAAGGAGUGUAAAACUUCGAUCAACUAGCUGUCAAACAAAAAAAACUUUGAUCAACUCAUGGUCGUCAUGUUACUAUAAGUAAUAUUAACAUAUAAGAGUGUCAUAUCAACUACUCCCUCUGUUCCAAAAUUACUAGUCGUCGUUUUAGUUCAAAUUUGAACUAAAACCAUGACGAGUAAUUUGGAACAGAGGGAGUACUGUACAUGCUCUAAUUUUUUUCAAUAUACGGUGUAGAAAUAGUUUCAUGCAUUACGCAUCCCUGCAUUUCUAAUGUAUGAUGUUGUAGAAUAGUUUCCAUGCAUUACGCAUCCCUGCAUCUCUGUAUCUUAAUUACCAAUUAAAUAGGAGCACAAAAUGGACGAAAUAGAGAGGAACGGCGAGUCAGGUCGUAUACGGCCGGGUAGAAGAUAACAUUUGUGGUCCUGGAUCUGGAUGUGAUAAGAUUUGCCAUGAUGUAUGUAACACACAAAAAAGAAAAUGUUGCCAUGAUAUUUAAAAAGAACUAGGGGCGGGGGGCAUGUUGUGGAUAUUAAAUUUGCCAUGUCCUAGAUAGUAAAUUUGCCAUGAUGUAUGUAACAUAGAAAAAAAAGUUGUCAUGAUCUGUAAAAAGAACUGGAGCGAGAUAGUUGCCAUGUUGUAGACAACAAAAUUUGCCACAUAUCUAGGAUUUGUAUAAAAUAUGCCAUAUAUCUAGGAUUUGAAUAUAGAUAACACAAAAGAAAGGUUGCCAUGAUUUAUGGAGAACAAAAAUCCUAAAAUUUGGCAUGUGACUAGUAUAUUUUUUUAACAAUUGCAAUGAUUUUUAGAUUUUUUGUAAGAAAUGCCACGAUGUUUGUGCUUUUCCUAAUGUAUGAAUAAUUGCAUUCCAUGACAAGAAAAUUUGGCAUGAUGUAAAAAAAGAUUUGACGGACACAAGAAAUAUCAAAAAUUGACAUGAUUUUAGAAAAAAAAUUCUGAAUAUUUUAGCCAUGUAACCAUUACACAUUUGCAAAAAGAUACCAUGUAUGAGAACAAAAUUCCAAAAAAAUCCAUGACACUGUUACAUAUUUGCAAAAAACUUACUAUGUACAAGAGAAUGAAAAUUCAUAGACUUUCCAUGUGGCCAUUAUAAACAGCUAUAAAAUAUCUCUUCUUUGUUUCCUUGGAGUGCAGGUACUUUUCACCAAUAUUUUCGCCACUAUAAGGGCUUCUUUGUGUUUCUCCGAGAAAUUUGGGCUCCUUCACCAUUUUGGCAGUGUUUUGUGGAAAAAGGGCCACCACCCUCAUUUUGGGUCGUAUUAGGCCCGGGGGCACAAUGAGAGCUGGGAUUGUGGAAAAACAUUGUAAGUUUAACCUAUAGGAAAAUAUCAGCAACCACACUACCAAAUCAAAAUCUAUGAUGAAUACAUUUUCAUAAUGUAUUUAAUGGUACUAUAUAGACUGGUAUUUUCUGGGACACCUGGUCUUUUAACAAUUUAGACUUGAGACUAGAUGAAUAUGCCUUAAUCCAGAAUGAAGGGCAUAGUUGUUGUAGUAUUUAGUUUGGCCACCCAAUUUUGAUAAAGAUAGUACAUCUUACUGUGAAUUACUAAGAGAAGUGUGCCUUCAUGAUCAUGAAUAGCCAUUAAGAUGCUUAGGGCACUCCAAUUGCAUUGGCUUUUUGUGCGUUCAUAGGUGGUGAACAAAAUAUUAGAGACCAUGAUCUGCUGUAUGUACUAUAUUUAAGUGAUGUUGCAUUUCAUUGAUUUAGGGAUUAGGAUUGUAGCUAAAAAUUAUGGUCUGGUUACAAAUAUGAGGAAAUGAGAGAAAGAUAGGAAGAGAAGCCACACAAGAUCUGAGUAUUAUUACACUGCAAAAUGAAACGAGCUAAGACCUGUAUCUGCACUAACAUAUAACUCCCUAUUAUCUCUUCAUAAUUAUUAUGGCUUGUCAGCAUUUACUUAUGAAAAUGUGCUAAAGAACAAGCACCAGGAGUGCCCUGAUAAACAACUAUUCUAUCCCAUGUAAAAUGUGAGACCUCCAUGCAUGUAUUCAAGUAUUUAGAGUUUAAGUAAUAACUAUAGCAAUAUCAUAUGGAUUAUGUGGUGCAAAACUGGUAUCGAUAUUCUUUUAUGAAUUGGAUGAUACUUUUUUUGUAAUGUAACUACAUUAGUGUAAAAUUAAUAAUUAAAGUUGAAUGUCAGGAUACGUAGGAGUCUUACAUUAUAAGAAAAAAGGUGCUACUGUGUAUAUUUAUAGAUCCAGACCUCGCUCCGCUCUGUACCUAUUUAGGGUUCUAUUUUCUCAUUCACACAUUUUCCAGUUUAAUUUCAACUGCCCCAUGACUGUAGGGUCUCGAAAAUAAUGAUUGCUCUAGAUAAAACUAAGCAAUAAUGCAUUGUGUAACAUGUUUUAUUGUCUUCUCUAAAUAAUUACUUUGACCUUUAAUUUCUAAGAAUCUUCUCAAUGUAACAGAUGAAAGGAACACAGAAUUUUGAAGAUUAGUCAAUGAGUGAAUCGGAAAGAAAGGAGUGUAAAACUUCAAUCAACUAGCUUUCAAACAAAAAAACUUUGAUCAACUCAUGGUUGUCAUGUUGCUCUAAGUAAUAUUAACAUAUAAGAGUGUCAUAUCAACUACUCCCUCCGUUCCAAAUUACUCGUCGUCCUUUUAGUUCAAAUUUGAACUAAAACCAUGACGAGUAAUUUGAAACAGAGAGAGUACUGUACAUGCUCUAAUUUUUUUCUUUUAAAUAUGCAUUUCUAAUAUACGGUGUAGAAACGGUUUCAUGCAUUACGCAUCCCUGCAUUUCUAAUCUAUGAUGUUGAAGAAUAGUUUCCAUGCAUUACGCAUCCCUGCAUCUCUGUAUCUUAAUUACCAAUUAAAUAGGACCACGGAAUGGACGGAAUAGAGAGGAACGGCGAGUCAGGUCGUAUACGGCCGGGUAGAAGAUAAGAUUUGCGGUCCUGGAUCUGGAUGUGAUAAGAUUUUCUUCGUGCUGGAUCAGAUCAGAUUUUUCUGGAGUUGGAUGUGACCAUAUUGUACAAUGCGUAUGGCAUGCAUGCAUCUCACUAAGCUAGCCAUAGUGUGGUAUCAUGCACUCGAGAAUAGUAAGCACACUGAUGUGGCAGAGAAUUAAAGAAGAGAGAGGAUGAGAGUAACCUAGAUAGAUAUCAUAUCAUAAUAAAUGUUAUGCCAUUUUGUGUCGUACAUUGUCCUAAAUAAAUCAUCUAUGAUACUACCUCCGUCCUGGUUUAUUGAUCCACAUCGUAUUUCAUGCCAAAUUUUUCCAUAAAUUUAACUAACAAAACGUCCACGCAUGCCAUUAAAAUUAUAUCAUUAAAAACUAUAUUUAAAUACGAAUUCAGCGAUAUAAUUUUUGUUGACAUGCAUUAACAUUUUUUAACUUAUUUUUUAGUCAAAAAUUUGACACAAGUUACAAAGGGGACUAAUAAACCUAAAUGGAGGUAGUAAUACUCUAUGAUACCAUGAACUAUGAACUAUAAAAGUAGUAUCAUUUACUAGUACUCCCUCCGUCCCAAAAUUCUUGUCUUAAAUUUGUCUAGAUACAGAUGUAUGUAAGACAAGAAUUUUAGGACGAAGGGAGUAUAUCAUACUAUAGAUGAUACUAAUAUAUGAUACUUCCCACUAUAAGUAGCCUAAUAUUAAUAUGUAAUACUACUCCUUUUUUUUGAGGAUAUGUAAUACUACUCCUAAUCAGACGAGUGACAGUGUGGGCCGCCUAACAGCAGCAAGCAUGUAUGCGUGAACGGUCACGGACAGCCACGGUGGUGACCACGAGGACGUGAUGCCAAACAUGCAUAAUGGUGGGUCACCAACAACAAACACACAUGUGUACAUCUCAGUGAGUGUACGUACACAAUAAUGGUGGCCACGAUCGACAACCAGUGGCCACCAUUAAAUCAGGACGUGGUGCGAAAUAGUACGAUACUGUAGAGAUCUGCACAUACGUCCAUGCAUGUGCACCAUCGUUAUCUAUCUAUCUAUCUAGCGAACCAAGCGCAUGCAUGUCCCGGAGAAGCUACUACUGUACUAUAGAGCACAGCUGUGCUCUCCUGCCAUGGCUCGUAGUGACACAAUCCUGUUCGUCGGCAUGGGCAUUAGGGCAUCUCCAGCCUGUUGGCCCCCCACGAGGGGCAAAAAAUCGCCCGCUGGGGGCGCACCGGCGCUAAACCACGCACGGGGGGCGUGAUGCCCCCCAGUCGCGGCGCCCACGGUUAGUCGAAAAAGUUAAAUACGGCGCAAAAACGACUCAAAUUUAACGCAAACAUCGGCGAGUUCGUUCAAACUUAAACAUAUUUUACAAAAAAGAAAAAAAACUACCCCCGCCGUCUCGCUCGUCGCCCGGCCACGUGGUUCUACAUGCCGAGGAGGCUGUAGAACCACGUGUAGUCACCGCCGUCGUCGUCAUCGUCGUCCUCGUCGUCGCCGCCCCUGCCUCCGCCUCCGCCGUCCCUGUUGCAUCCCUCCCCCGGUUGGCGCGGCGGGUUGGACGGUCCGGGGGCGUCGUCGUCGUCGCUGUCGAGGACCACGACGUCGUGCUCGUCCUCGCGCCCACGCUUGCGGGCGGCGAUCUCCUCCAGGGCGACCAUCUCGUCGCGGAGAUAGUCGUCCCGCUCCCACCGCAUGGCGUCCUCGUCGGAGAAGCCGCGCCGGGCUAUCUCCUUGUACUCUGCGGGGAGGCCGGGCUCCGGCUUGGGCUCGACGAGGACGAAGCGGCCGGUGGGUGGAGAGGCGUUGGCGCCGAUGCGGACGCCGGAGCUGCGGGUGCGUGCACUGACCGGUGUGUCCUGGGGCUCCGGCUUGACGGGGCGGAGGCAGGGCGAGCCGCCGGACGAGGAGGAGGACCCCCCGGUCUCCAUGCGCCUCGGGGUCCAGGAGCUUCCCCGGCGGCGUGACAAGGAAGGGGGGGCGGGGUACUCGAGGCGCGGCGUGUUGCCGCCCUCGAUGUACUCGAGGACGGCCUCCAACGUGCGCCCGGGCACGCCCCACCACAGACGCCGGCCGGCGGUGUUGAGCCUGCCGGAGGGCACGACGCCGUUGGUGGCCUCGAGUUGCUGGGCAUGACGGCGGCGGAAGUAGGUUCCCAGAGCGGGCUGUCGGGGACGUACCGUGGCCCCUCCCUCGCCGCACGCGGCAGGUUCGAGCGGAUGCAUGCGAUCUCCGCACGCCGCGCCGCGCCGGUGGGUACCGGGGGCACCGGCACGCCGCCCGCGCUGAUCCUCCACGCCCCGGGCACCCGCAUGUCCGGCGGGACCGGGUACUCGGCCUCGUAAAGGAGGCGAGCCUCGUCUUCAUGAAGAUGGCGGCGGCCGAAGCCGUUCGCCGCCGCGCCGUCGCCUGGGAAGCGCUCGGCCAUGGGUGUGAACUGGAGACGGCGAAAGAGAGGAGAGGAGAGGGAGGAACGACGGCGGCGGGAGAGUGUGAGUCGCCGAGUGCGCCGGGGCGCUUCAUAUAUAGGCCGAGGCGCGUGUGCCACCGUGCGUACGCGUGGCGGGCGAGGGAGGGCGAGGGACGCGCGUCGUCCGGUCUUCACUGCGCCGCCCGUGAGGCAUCAAUGGUGCAGGCUGACCGGCGCGGCAGCGCGGCAGCUUUGGCAUUGAUUCGUCACGGGAAACGAGGCGAUGAGGACGACGAAGGGCCGAGAAGAGAGCCAUGUCGCUGACGCGGCGGGCCCGCAGCUUUUUCGCGCCAAAACAGUUCGCCCGGCGCCCCCGGGCGCCCCCCAGCGCGCCGGGUUCGGGCUGGGUCCGCCGGCGCUGUUUUCGGCCCAAGCCGGCGAAAAUCGGGCUCCUGGGACGCGAUUGGGCCAUUUUUUUGGUGCCGGCACGAAAAAAACGUCUGAGGAGGCCUUUCUGGAGGCGCGGCUGGAGAUGCCUUUAUAGGUGCAUGUGCAUGCAUCCAAGUCUCGAAGUCGUGACUCUCUCAACAACUUCCUUAAAUUCCAUCCGUGGUUGCUGGCAAGAGCUCUGCUUAGAUCGGAUCUAAACAGUGAAACAAUUGACACGUCCCACUGUCACGAAAUUAAUAGGAUAGACAAUGCAUCAGAAGGCAUGAUGUCUCUAUUUCCAAAUUAAAAGAAUAACAAUUGUUGUUAUUUUCUUCUAUAUAUGUAUUAGGUGAAAAAAACUUUUUGACUGAAUUGAUCUACAUGCUGAUAUGAUUAAUAUGUAUACUCUCUCCAUUUCUAAAUAUAGAGUCUUUUAGAGAUUCCAAAGCAAACUACAUACAAAGUAAAAUGACUGAAUCUAUACUAUAAAAUAUACUCUCUUCGUUUUUAUUUACUCUGCAUAUUAGAAUUAACUGAAGUCAAACUUCUUAAAGUUUGACCAAAUUUAUAGAAAAGAAUAUAAAUAGAUAUCAUAACAAAAUAUAUGAUGUGAAAGUACAUUCAAUAAUGAAUCUAAUGGUAUUGAGUUGUUAUUGUAUAUGUUAAUAUUUUUGUCUAUAAAUUUAGUCAAAGUUACAAAGCUUGAAUUUGACCAAAGCUAAUACGUGCAGUAAAUUAAAACGAAGGAAAUAUCUAUAUACAUCUACAUGUAAUCUAUAUUAAAAUCUCUAAAAGAUCUAAUAUUUAUAUUUAGAAACGGAGGCAGGGAGUAUGAAGCAUCCAUUCAGUGUGAGUUCAUGAGGCGAGGGGCUGGCUCGUUCUUACUGUUGACAAUUCUCUAGUGGAUAUACAUCCACACAGACGCAUGUACUCCAUUCAGGCAUAGUACUCCCUCCGUUUCAUAAUGUAGUGCCUAUAGAUUUUUUGAAAAGUCAAACUUUACAAACUUUGACCAAGUUUAUGAAGAAAAACAUUUACAUUUAAAAUGCUAAACAUAUAUUAUUAGAUUCAUCUUAAGAUGUAUUUUUAUAUUUUAUAUAUUUGACAUUGUAUAUAUAUAUAAAUAGUUUUUUUUAUAAACUUGACCAAAGUUUGACUUUAUAAAAAAAUCUAUAGAUACUACAUUAUGGAACGGAGGGAGUAUUGGGCAGCCCAGCCUGGUUUUCCCAAUUGUUAGACUGAAAUCAGCUCCGUGGGAUGGGCGCCCACUUUUUAGAUAUUUCGAAGCGUAUGAGUAGUUUGCCAUAAUUUAGAAAAAUGGUAGCAUGUCGCAUCAAGAGAUUGCUCAUUGGAUACAAGAUAAGACCUGCAUGCCGAGUCAUGGUGAGUCAGAUCGGGUCCAAUCUAAUCGUCCUUACUUGCAAGGCAUGGGCAUGCAUAUCAAUGAAUGUGGUAGCUGUGCGUGCACGUACACGUACUACUCCAUUAUUGAUCCCACUUUGAAUUAUUGAUUGCCAUAUGUCAUCCAUUAAGGCGCGACAUCGAACCGCAGUACUUUCUCAGUCCGAGUUUAAUAGGCAUAAAGACAAUUUCUUUUGGAUCAAGACACAUAGUAAUUUGCUCAUGUUAGUUCUUUUAUUUCACUCCUAAUGCACUCUCACAUUCAUGCAGCUAAUUAAAAAGAAUGCAUGCAGCGUAUUAAUUUCCCAAUCAUGGCACCAAACAAUAAUGGCUUUCAAUGCAACCAAUGAAGUGAUUGCAUGUAUGCACCUUUUCAAAGCGAUGCCUUAUAAAAAGGGACAUGCUUGUUUUGCUGUGAGGCCCAAUAAACCCGGACGGAGGAAGUACAUAGGUCAGUCCUGGUUUUUAUGUCCCUAUUAUAUUUUGUGCCAAAUUUUGACCAUAGAUUUAACUAAUAAAAUGUUCAUGUAUGUCAUAAAAAAUUAUAUAAUUAGAAACUAUAUUUAAGUACAAAUUCAACGAUAUAUUUUUGUUGACAUGCAUUAACAUUUUAUAAAUUAAAUAUUUGAUCAAAAUUUGGCAUAAAUUAUAAAAGGGACCACUAAAUCAGGACGGAGGCAGUAAAACCUUAAAGAUUAAAAGGGCUUAUAUUUCUUUAUAGAGGAAGUAGCAAAUUACUCUACACAAAAUAAUGGUAUAUCUGCCGAAAACCGGAGCAGUAGUAUACGUUCUAGAAGGGACUAUGUGUGUGGGGACUGGGGACUGGGGUCAAGUAUAACUAUUGUCAUUAUCAGCCGAAAGCAUGUGUUUUAUUAGGAAACUCUAAGUUAAAAGCGUACACACAGCCGCGUUUCCGCGGAUCCCGCUUGCGUCUCUGUGGUGCUACGGUAUUAUCGCUACAGGAGGCUACAAGACAAAUGCAUGGAUCACAUCAUGUGCUGCUGGUUUAUACCCAGCUUCGUGCGAUAAAUGACCGCUCACGUGGGAUGCAUGCAUGAAAAGGAAAAGAAGAACCGAGCAACCCGCUGCAUGCGCUAAUCUGGUUGGAUACAUGUCAGAGCAUCUACAACCGGACGCCCUCAAAUAAUGAUCACUCAUAUACCCGUGGACACGCCAGGUUAGUGACCGGACAGGAGAGAAGAAAAAAGGGACGACUCCACGUAUCGUCCCAUAUGUUCGGGCUGUCCGCGAACCGCAUAUUGCGGCCAAAUGUCGGGAGGAUAUGAGGGCUGAUGGAGGCGCCCCUGUGUGCUCGGUCGAUCCGCCACGUAGGUCGCGACCGCACCCCGAACCACAUUUUUUCUUUCUUUAUUCAUUCUUUUCAUUCUCUUUCUUCAUCUCCAUCAAUCACAGGCAAGUGAUCAAACAUACAAGGGAAAAAAAAGAGAAGUGUGACCGCACGGACGAACAAAUAGGGUUCAAAACGGACAUGUCCGACCACUGGCCGGGUGCGUUCGCGGGCUUUUGAGAGGUUAAAUUUGGGCAGUCCGGCUGUAGAUUCUCUUAGCAGCGUUAAUAUCUCGUGUUGAUCCUUAGUUUUGGCUAAGGGUGUGGUGAGGUCCAGUCUACUAUUAUUUAAUUAAUUCUUGGUCAGUGUUAUAAGAUAAUUAAAAACACUAAAAAUCAAAUUUUGCACGGUUAAUGUAAGAUAUCACGAAUAGAGCAUUGACUGAGACUUCGUUAAGUUUGGUCCGACUAAGAUUUAACUAAGUCUCGGUCAAGUGACAUAACAUGUAAGAAAAUAAAAGAAAAAAACGAAAAUA
rnacentral:lncRNA from 1 species